rnacentral:rRNA from 1 species
CCUACGGGUGACAGCAGUGAGGAAUAUUGGUCAAUGGGCGCUAGCCUGAACCAGCCAAGUAGCGUGAAGGAUGACUGCCCUAUGGGUUGUAACCUUCUUUUAUAUGGGAAUAAAGUGCAGUAUGUAUACUGCUUUGCAUGUACCUUAUGAAUAAGGAUCGGCUAACUCCGUGCCAGCAGCCGCGGUAAUACGGAGGAUCCGAGCGUUAUCCGGAUUUAUUGGGUUAAAAGGGAGCGUAGGCGGGUUGUUAAGUCAGUUGUGAAAGUUUGCGGCUCAACCGUAAAAUUGCAGUUGAUACUGGAAUCCUUGAGGAAAGAAGAGGUAGGCGGAAUUCGGGGUGUAGCGGUGAAAUGCUUAGAUAUCACGGAGAACUCCGAUUGCGAGGGCAGCCGGCUGGACGGAAACUGACGCUGAUGCUCGAAAGUGUGGGUAUCAAACAGGAUUAGAUACCCGUGUAGU